AUUGAACGCUGGCGGCAUGCUUUACACAUGCAAGUCGGACGAGUGGCGGACGGGUGAGUAAUAUCUGGGGACGUACCGAGUAAAGGGGGAUAACUACUCGAAAGAUUAGCUAAUACCGCAUAUUAUUCGAGCUGCCGAUAUCUGAUUAGCUAGUUGGUGGGGUAAAGGCUUACCAAGGCGACGAUCAGUAGCGGGUCUGAGAGGAUGAUCAGCCACACUGGGACUGAGACACGGCCCAGACUCCUACGGGAGGCAGCAUUGGGGAAUUGUGGACAAUGGGCGCAAGCCUGAUACAGCCAUGCCGCGUGUCUGAAGAAGGCCUUCGGGUUGUAAAGGACGUUCGUCAGGGAAGCGGUACCUGAAGAAUAAGCAACGGCUAACUACGUGCCAGCCGCCGCGGUAAUUC
rnacentral:rRNA from 1 species